AUCAUGGCUCAGGAUGAACGCUAGCUACAGGCUUAACACAUGCAAGUCGAGGGAAACGAUAGNGAAAGCUUGCUUUUUCUAGGCGUCGACCGGCGCACGGGUGAGUAACGCGUAUCCAACCUGCCCAUCACUUGGGGAUAACCUUGCGAAAGUAAGACUAAUACCCAAUGACGUCUCUAGAAGACAUCUGAAGGAGAUUAAAGAUUUAUCGGUGAUGGAUGGGGAUGCGUCUGAUUAGCUUGUUGGCGGGUAACGGCCCACCAAGGCGGCGAUCAGUAGGGGUUCUGAGAGGAAGGUCCCCCACAUUGGAACUGAGACACGGUCCAAACUCCUACGGGAGGCAGCAGUGAGGAAUAUUGGUCAAUGGACGAGAGUCUGAACCAGCCAAGUAGCGUGCAGGAUGACGGCCCUAUGGGUUGUAAACUGCUUUUAUAAGGGAAUAAAGUGGGAGUCGUGACUCUUUUUGCAUGUACCUUAUGAAUAAGGACCGGCUAAUUCCGUG
rnacentral:rRNA from 1 species